UAUCUGGGAUAACACGCCUCCGAUCCCAACGCUGCUUGCGUCGGUGUCUACCAGGAACUUCUCGCCAGGUCGUGGAUAUCCUAAAAUGGGCGAUGCAAACAGCGACUCUUUCAAGGACUCGAAUGCGACGUCCGCCUCCGGGGACCAGUGGAACGUUCUUUUCUCCUCGGUGAGUUGAGUCAGUGGCUUGGCGAUGUCAGCAAACCCGGCAACGAAUCUCCGAUAGUAGGUGCAGCUCCUUAGCUCGUGCUUGUCCUUUGGCCUCGGCCACUCUCGCACAGCCUUCAGCUUUUCGGGUUCGGUGGUCACCCCGCCGGGGGAAACCACAUGUCCUAGAUAUUUCGCCUCCUUCUGGAGCAUCCGACACUUUCCGGAGUUCAGCUUAAGUCCGGCUUCCCUGAGCCUCUGGAGCACUUCCCUCAGAUUAUCCAAGUGCUCCCAGAAUGUCCGACCAAUGACGAUGACAUCAUCCAGGUAGACCAAGCAGGCUUUGGGCGUCAGGUCCCGCAGGACGGACUCCAUCAGCCUUUGCAAGGCCGAAUGACAUUACUGUGAAUUGCCACAGCCCCUGUCCAGUAGAGAAUGCAGUCUUCUCUUUAUCCUCGGGAUGCAGGGCCACCUGCCAGUAGCCACUCUUUAGGUCUAAUAUCGAGAACCAUUUGGCCCCUGCCAGUGUGUCUAGGGUAUCGUCGAUCCUGGGCAGUGGGAAGCAUUCCUUCUUGGUGACGUUAUUCAGCUUCCUGUAGUCAACGCAGAACCGCAGUACCCCGUUCUUCUUUCGCACAAGCACCGGGUACGUGGACCGUGGCGGCCGAGGAGCCAGCGUGUGUCCAGUGGGGUGCUACGGGCCGAUGCGUAAGCGAGAGAGUGGAGCCAACGAGAGGUCUAGUGUGACGUGUUGCGGUUGGCAUAGUUGUGUCUCUUUAUUGACAUUGUUGUUGGUCCUCGACUUUCAGGAUGUCUUCGUGACAGAAAACAAUGGUUAUGGGCGGACGGUAUGCUAAGGGACAUGGGGGAACGAGGUGUGAUCGAGGCAUUAGACAGCCCGUGGUCGUCGCCCGUCGUGCAGUGAAAUCUGCCCUGUGACUCGGAUUUCGUUUUGCUUGAUUUAAUAAUGGCGGAGUUUAAAUAAGUGUGAAUAAUUCUCGUACCCCACCAAAGGCAAAAACGACGACAUUCUUCUGAAUCAGGUGGAGUGUCAUCAUGACAGAUGGUGAUGACCGGUGUUGUAUGAAAUGACUUUCGCUGUAACUGCCCUCGAUGUUCACAUGCCGGUCGGAAACAAAUCGAUCUGUCAGUACGUGGAUCUUGUCUUUAACUCUCUUUUUCUAAGUUACACUCUCUCACUCAUAUUCAUGCUGAGCAGUGAAGUAAUCAUACGGCGAAGGUAAGGGUCAUACCACCAUCAAUGACAAAUUUUACAGAAGAAAUAAUUUUCGUACGGCUUCACAGAAACAACGCGUCAAAAUCACUAAUCAAUCAGCAACCAAGACAAUUCAACAGAUCAAACAUCACAAGUAAUGAAAGACAAACGUAAGCAAGAACCAAACAACACGGGUACCACCACAUGCACACCAGUGUUCCCAGCAACAAAAUAAAUAUCGCACAACAUGUAAGCAGAUAAAAACUAUGAAUACGUGAAACGAGGUCAAGAACGCAAGUUUAAAGCAGUCACAAAACAUGAAAUUUCCCAGUUUUCAUCUUAAAAGACCUCAGCUAUUUAACUAGUCUACAGGCUGCUUUACUGCAAUUACUGACAAUACUUUGAGCAUAAGAACUUUUGCUAAACCAGGAAGAAAAUUGUAGUAAGUAGUCUGCUCGUAGUCGAGAAACUACAGACAAGACGUAAUGUGGCACUUCCAACUAGGGACCCAUUAGUCUUCACACCGCAGAAGAAAGAUACACAGCCCUAUUUCGCGUUUAAAAGGGAAUCCCGUAUAAAUCGGGCCAGAGAGGGCUGUUACUACGCGUUUCAAUUGUGGCUAAAACACGUGUAUAUGCUACGACAUAGGCCUACAACAGAAAAAUAGCAUCAAAGAGGUGGGGACAAUAAAUUUAUUAUCAGCAGGACCAACUCAGUUAUUCUAACAUUUACUGUAACGCCGGUUGAAGUUAUGCUACGUGAAGUAACACUGACUGAAAUCGUCUGAAUGAUUUAACGAAAUAAAAGUUUCGACAUACCUCGUACUUCGGUCCACGGAAGCUCUGUCAGGAAUUUAACACAGUAAAGAGAGUGUAGUCGGCUCCUACCCGACUCUUACCUACAAGUGUCCUGUUUCGACGAUACUAGUAGGCCUGUACUGAAUUUCCAUGCGUGACUCAACACUAUGUUAUAUCGUCUGUUCUGCAGGCACGUCCUUUACACGCUUCAAAUAUUUUCAAUAUCAUAGCAUUCCCUUGAAAUUAUUCAUAAAUUUUUUGAGGGAACAUUUCUUCUGGAUAAUAAACUACAAUCGAAAAAUGCCACUGUGAGAAAAAUCUACGCCUCAUGUAGCUGCAGACAUUCAAGGCAAAUAUGUGUAGUAAGAUUAAAAUAAUCCGUACAAUGAAAGAAAAGUCACUUAAAAACCGUUGUGAUAAAACCAACAACAUCCGCGUGAAUGAAAAACAGAAGAAGAGGUUUUCAAGGACUGAGUAAGCACAGCAAAACAAGCAUUUGCUUCCAUCCCAGUCAAACCGCUACCGUCUGCCCGACGUGAUGACGGCGAACCAAAAGUUCUUUGUUCUUGCUACUGCCACCGAAAUCGUUAUUACGUCUGAGGGUUUGCUACACUCUCAUAUGAAGAGGACGCAGCACGCAAUAAACAAGAAAGAUCACGAAGAUAAAACUACAAACGCCAGCACUUAUGAACCAAUCUACGACAUUAAUAUGGAGAUGUAAAGAAAAACUUGUAUCUGCUAGCAAGAAACGGCGAAAAGAGAAUGUAAUGACCCAAUAGAAUGAUUUCCACCACUGACCCACAAAGCGAAGUCUAAAUUCAAUGCAAUGAGGAUGAAAUCGUAACCAUAAAAUUAUUCAGUUAUUUAUUUUGAAAAUAAUAAUUGUGACAAACCGUACGACCAUUGCUUAAUUAAUGGUUAGAAUGAGAGUCUUUCGAAAAACGUCCUAAAAAUGCCAUUCUUUGCUUGUAAGGGAAUUGUUACUACAAGAUUUAUCCUUGGUACACGCCACUACGCCACUACAUCAUUAGGCCAAUGACUGCCUCUUUACAUUAUUCCCGAUGUUAUUCCAUACACAAGGUUCAAAUUAACAAGAACAACCUUGGCUUACAGUGAUUAACAACUGAAAUAAUAUAGUCCUUUUGCUAAAUAAUUAAACAAUUGACCUCGUUGGAUCCACAGAAACCGGAGGAACACGAAGACUGGACACCGAAGCUUAAUACGAAAUAAAAACCUGACUUGGGGUGGUGGUGGGUUCUAGAACGUAGCUUCAAUUAUUCACGACGCUGGACGAGACGCACUGGACUACAUAAAGGACCCCAUUUACAUUAGUAAGAUUGCUAAUGAAUACUGCAUGGCACCAUGUUUUACAUUCACCGCGGAAACUUGCGCCGAGAUUUCUUUCGUACAGAUACAACUUUAAUGUAAGCUUUUCAAACCGAAUUUAACUUUCGGGAAAAGUAUGACAUUCUUCAAAUGCUUCGUACGUACAUACAUACACACAUAAACUAUAAAUUAACAACUACAAAAGGGUAGGAACAUCGGUGAGAAUAAUUUGUGUAACAAAGUUGUCAAGAUAAUUAAAAAUUUUGUAUAUUUUA